rnacentral:lncRNA from 1 species
UUGUCAUUUAAAAAUCUAGUCUGGAAGCUGAAGAAGGUUACUAACAGAUCGUCUCAAUAAGGAGUGGAAAAAACAUACAUAGUUUGAGUGGCAUUCAAUUAAUAAUCUGUAAUAGCUUACAACUGAUCCUUCUAGUACCUCUCUUAAGAGCAAGGAGCUGAUUUCUUGUUUAUUAAUGCAGUUAUUAUUAUUAUUUAAGCAGGUGUUUUCUACAGAGGUGACAGCGAACCAGAACAUCAGCUCCGAACUUCUUUGGACUUUGAGAAGCUUGGAUUCUGAUUCAUAGUCUCCAAGUGGAAAACAGUUGGAGAUACAGGUUGUAUUUAUACAUAUGCUGAGGAAGUAAAGCAAUUUCAUCAACUUGUAGUAGAAGAAAGGUUGCAUGAAGUUCUGCAGCGCACAGUGCUGACACCUUCAAAAUGCAGCAAGACAAGCCAGCUCUUCAUGCAGUUCCUUUGUCCGUGGAAGUUAAAUAUUGGGCAUAUCCAGAUCUAUUAAC